UCCCUUGUGGUCCAGUGGUUAAGACUCUGCCCUUCCACUGCAGGGGGCACGGGUUCAAUCCCUGGUCGGGGAA
rnacentral:tRNA from 1 species